rnacentral:lncRNA from 1 species
AACAAAAAAUUGGAAACAGAAAGUCAAAGUGCAAAUAAAGAAAAUUCGGCCACGUAAAACUGCCCAAUCAACUAUCUCGAAGAACUGGAGCGCGCUACAUGGCAGCGCAGGCUGAUGUCGGUGCCACGCGGGAGGCCACGCUGACGAUCUGCAUGCCCUAUGAUCAGACGACCCAUGACCGAUCCCGCACGCAUAGAGGAUCCGGAUCUGUUUCCCCCUUAGGUGCGAUCGGACGGUUGAGAUUAAUCGCAAUAAACAGCCCAAAUUCGUUUCCUCCUUAAAUGCAAUCAGACGGACGAGAUUAGUUGCGAUGGACGGUCCAGAUCAACGCGGGAUAGUUAUAAAUACUUCGCAUCACAUGGGAACCCAAACCCUAACCACCAGCCCCCACCGGAGAAGAAAAAUCAGACGGCAGAGAAGGAGGUCGACCAUUGACCGCCGUU